AGAGUUUGAUCAUGGCUCAGGACGAACGCUGGCGGCGUGCCUAAUACAUGCAAGUCGUGCGGAGGUACGUGAGGAGCUUGCUCCGAGCGGACCUUAGCGGCGGACGGGUGAGUAACGCGUGGGCAAUCUACCUCCAAGGCUGGGAUAACAGCUCGAAAGGGCUGCUAAUACCAGAUGAGGCCUAGUUAGGGCAUCCUGAGUAGGUCAAAGGAGAGAUCCCUUUGGAGAUGAGCCCGCGUCCCAUUAGCUAGUUGGUGAGGUAACGGCCCACCAAGGCGACGAUGGGUAGCCGGCCUGAGAGGGUGACCGGCCACACUGGGACUGAGACACGGCCCAGACUCGUACGGGAGGCAGCAGUAGGGAAUCUUCCGCAAUGGGCGAAAGCCUGACGGAGCGACGCCGCGUGGGUGAUGAAGGCCUUCGGGUUGUAAAACCCUGUCUUAAGGGACGAAACCCCCGAAGAGGGGACUGACGGUACCUUAGGAGGAAGCCCCGGCUAACUACGUGCCAGCAGCCGCGGUAAUACGUAGGGGGCGAGCGUUGUCCGGAAUUACUGGGCGUAAAGGGUGCGUAGGCGGCUUCUUAAGUGGGGGGUGAAAUCUCCCGGCUCAACCGGGUGACUGCCCUUCAGACUGGGGAGCUUGAGUGCGGGAGAGGAAAGUGGAAUUCCCGGUGUAGCGGUGAAAUGCGUAGAUAUCGGGAGGAACACCAGUGGCGAAGGCGGCUUUCUGGACCGCAACUGACGCUGAGGCACGAAAGCUGGGGGAGCAAACAGGAUUAGAUACCCUGGUAGUCCCAGCCGUAAACGAUGAGUGCUAUGUGUAGGAGGUAUCGACCCCUCCUGUGCCGGAGUUAACGCAAUAAGCACUCCGCCUGGGGAGUACGGCCGCAAGGUUGAAACUCAAAUGAAUUGACGG
rnacentral:rRNA from 1 species